GCCCCACUAUCAACACCCAAAGCUGAAGUUCUAUUUAAACUAUUCCCUG
rnacentral:tRNA from 2 species